rnacentral:rRNA from 1 species
GAAAGUAGGAAAGGGCGCAUGGCGGAUGCCUUGGCUCUCGGAGGCGAUGAAGGACGUGAUAAGCUGCGAUAAGUCACGGGGAGGUGCAAAUAACCUUUGAUCCGUGAAUCUCCGAAUGGGACAACCCGAUAUCCUGAAGGGAUAUCACCUCAUCUAGUUGAGGAGCUAACGCAGGGAACUGAAACAUCUUAGUACCUGCAGGAAAAGAAAAUAACAAUGAUUCCCCCAGUAGUGGCGAGCGAACGGGGAAGAGCCCAAACCACACAUGUUACGGCAUGUGUGGGGUUGUAGGACCACGGCGUUGCAAGAACUCUUGUGAGAAGAACAGCCUGGAAAGACUGACCACAGACGGUGACAGUCCGGUAUUCGAAGCAAGACGAAGCAUAGUGGUAUCCUGAGUAGCGCGGAACACGAGGAAUUCUGCGUGAAUCUGCCGGGACCAUCCGGUAAGGCUAAAUACUCCCGAGAGACCGAUAGUGGACCAGUACCGUGAGGGAAAGGUGAAAAGCACUUCGAACAGAAGAGUGAAAUAGUACCUGAAACCGUGCGCCUACAAGCGGUCGGAGCACGAAAGUGUGACGGCGUGCCUUUUGCAUAAUGAACCUACGAGUUACCGUAUCUGGCAAGGUUAAGGGUCACGAGACCUGCAGCCGAAGCGAAAGCGAGUCUGAAGAGGGCGUCGAGUCAGUUGCGGUAGACGCGAAACCAAGUGAUCUACCCUUGGCCAGGAUGAAGUCUGGGUAACACCAGAUGGAGGUCCGCACCAAUAAGCGUUGAAAAGCUUCUGGAUGAGCUGAGGGUAGGGGUGAAAGGCUAAUCAAACUUGGAGAUAGCUCGUACUCCCCGAAAUGCAUUUAGGUGCAGCCUUGCGGGUUACUGAUGUGAGGUAGAGCGACUGAUUGGAUGCGAGGGCUUCACCGCCUAUCAAGUCCUGACAAACUCCGAAUGCGCAUCAGUUCUACCGCAGGAGUGAGGGCAUGGGUGCUAAGGUCCGUGCCCGAGAGGAGAAGAAUCCGGACCACCGGCUAAGGUCCCGAAAUGACAGCUAAGUUAAACUAACGAAGUCUGAUUGCUAAGACAGCUAGGAUGUUGGCUUGGAAGCAGCCAUUCAUUUAAAGAGUGCGUAACAGCUCACUAGUCGAGGAAUCGGGCGUGGAUAAUAAUCGGGUAUGAAGUUGUCUACCGAAGCCGUGGGAUCAGCAAUGAUCGGUAGGGGAGCAUUCCAUUCCGCGUCGAAGGCGUGGCGUGAGCCAUUCUGGAGCGUAUGGAAAAGCAAAUGUAGGUAUAAGUAACGAUAAAGGGGGUGAGAAACCCCCUCGCCGAAAGACUAAGGUUUCCUGAUCAACGCUAAUCGGAUCAGGGUCAGUCGGGUCCUAAGGCUCAGCCGAACGGCGAGGCCGAUGGCAGAAACGGUUAAUAUUCCGUUACUACCUUUGAGGGUGACGUGGGGAAGCAGUAGUGACACUGCCGCGGGCUGACGGAAUAGCCCGUUAAAGAGUGUAGGCGUUGAUUUCCGCAGGCAAAUCCACGGAAAGAGCCGAACUUGACAGUAUGGAGCGUCCUUCGGGACAAUCCAACAGCGCAGGUAAUCAGACUGCCGAGAAAAUCCGCUAAACAUAACUUCAGAGGUACCCGUACCGCAAACGGACACACGUAGUCGGGUUGAAUAUACUAAGGCGCUUGGGUGAAUCACGGUUAAGGAACUAGGCAAACUGACCCUGUAACUUCGGGAUAAAGGGUCCCUCCUCGCAAGAGAGGGCGCAGAGAAUAGGUCCAGGCAACUGUUUAACAAAAACACAGGGCUGUGCGAAUAUGAAAGUAGAAGUAUACAGCCUGACACCUGCCCGGUGCUGGAAGGUUAAGAGGAGAUGUCAUCGCAAGAGAAGCAUUGAAUUGAAGCCCCAGUAAACGGCGGCCGUAACUAUAACGGUCCUAAGGUAGCGAAAUUCCUUGUCGGGUAAGUUC